rnacentral:lncRNA from 1 species
GAAUACAAUGAAAGUUCUCCUUCUCUAGAGUGAUACAAGUUUAUAUUUAUUUUUGAUCUUAAUCAAAAAACUCACAAUGAAUGCAGAAGAGAGAUUGAAGUAUUGAAUGCUAUCAAGGAAACAAGUUUUGAACACUUCAAUAUCUCCCUAACAACCUCAAAGGUUGUUUUUUAAAGCCCAAAAGUGAAUAGAGACGUUGCAGCAUUUAGUGCACUGAGAAAAGUCGUUCUGAUUUGAUAUCAGCUGUUGGAUCUAUGAUUUUGACGUGCCAGAUUAAAAUUCAAAACUUUUGUCGUGCGAUUCGAUCAAUCGAAGUUCAUCUUCGGUCGAUUUUGAACUGAAUUUCUAGUGGCUUUGUAAACUGCUCUGUUUUAUUUUCUUGAACUUCGGUCGUCCCCAAAAUUAGACUUCAGUCGACCGAACUUAAGUUCGGUCGUGGUUGAACUGCAUUUCUAGAGGCUUGCCUAGUUGCUUUGUUUUGCCUUUUAACUUCAACUGUCCUGCCUUAAACAUUCGUCUGUGCUUGAACUUUGGCUGAGCAACCUUGAACUUCGGUCAACUGAAGUUAGAGUUCGGUCGUCAAAAGCCUUCAUUACCAGAUAGCAUACCUUUGCAAAUAAUUUAUAAGAGUUCCUGGCUUUCGGCUGUACUUGAACUUCGGUCUUAAAACUUCGGUCGUGCCGAUUUCAACUU